UACGUAGGGGGCGAGCGUUGUCCGGAUUCAUUGGGCGUAAAGGGCGCGCAGGCGGCCCGGGCAGUCCUGUGUGAAAUCUCCGGGCUCAACUCGGAGGGGCCGCAGGAUACUCCUGGGCUCGAGGCCGGCAGGGGGGAGCGGAAUUCCCGGUGUAGUGGUGGAAUGCGUAGAGAUCGGGAGGAACGCCAGUGGCGAAGGCGGCUCCCUGGGCCGGUCCUGACGCUCAGGCGCGAAAGCGUGGGGAGCGAUCCGGAUUAGAAACCCGAGUAGUCC
rnacentral:rRNA from 1 species